rnacentral:rRNA from 1 species
UGGGGAAUAUUGCACAAUGGGGGAAACCCUGAUGCAGCGACGCCGCGUGAGCGAAGAAGUAUUUCGGUAUGUAAAGCUCUAUCAGCAGGGAAGAAAAUGACGGUACCUGACUAAGAAGCCCCGGCUAACUACGUGCCAGCAGCCGCGGUAAUACGUAGGGGGCAAGCGUUAUCCGGAUUUACUGGGUGUAAAGGGAGCGUAGACGGAUGUGCAAGUCUGAAGUGAAAGCCCGGGGCUCAACCCCGGGACUGCUUUGGAAACUGUGUAUCUGGAGUGCCGGAGAGGUGAGCGGAAUUCCCAGUGUAGCGGUGAAAUGCGUAGAUAUUGGGAGGAACACCAGUGGCGAAGGCGGCUUACUGGACGGUAACUGACGUUGAGGCUCGAAAGCGUGGGGAGCAAACA